rnacentral:ribozyme from 2 species
ACUCGUGUAAGCGAGUAUAAAAAGGCUUUAGGCUUACAGCGUCGCGGAGUUUAUCUCCGCGGGUAGCA